rnacentral:lncRNA from 1 species
AAAAAAUUAGUGUUAUAUCUGAAUAAUUAUUUGAGGAUGGGAACAUGAAGUACGAACUACCGGCUAAUUAAAAGUUAAAACUAUUAAUUAUAUCCAACAUAUUAGAACACAUCAGUCUACUCUUGAGAGUUGAGACAUGAUGAAAAUCAUUUGGACAAUUUAACUUCAACUUCUUCUAAAAAAAUAACUGAAAAAAAAAACAAUAAUAAAAUAAUGUUAAACAUACCAAAAUUUUGUAUCAACUUUGUGUACUAAAUGAUGUGUCACCAAUCAAAUUCAAGUUAGAAUUUAAUUUUUAAUUAUAAUAAAAAUUUAUAUAGUAUAGGAUGUGUCACACUCUUCAUCCCAAACAAAUUUAGUACAUAUAACAUCACGCUUAAUAAUAAGAGUAGUGAAUUUCUCACUUCCUUUUCUUCUCAUGUACUUUUCUAUUUGUUUAUAUCCACUGAUUCUCUUGUGGAUUGAGUUAUAUUUAAGGAUUAUAAAGAAUGAUCGCAAGGGGAUAAAGGGAAAGUGGGGAAGCCAUUUCACAAUACAAAAUCCUCCUCUCACAUGUAGGAGUUGACAUCAACUCUCUGUGUAUUAUAUAUGUUUCUUUCUCUAUCCCUUUGGUUAUUUUCCUAAAGACUUGAUCGAUUUGAUUUGGUCAUCUCACUCAAGUCAGAUCAAUCUGAUUUGGCUUGUAGAUACGAUCAUACGAAAGAUACUUAGAGAGAGACAUGAUGUAAAUCAUUUGGACAAUUUAAAUUCAACUUCUUUUAAAAAAUUAACUGAAAAAAAACAAUAAUAAAAUAAUGUUAGACAUACCAAAAUUUUGUACCAACUUUAUGCACUAAAUGAUAGGUCACCAGUCUAAUUCAAGUUAGAAUUUAAUUUUUAAUUAUAAUAAAAGUUUAUAUAGUAUAGGAUGUGUUACACCUUCCAUCCCGAACAAAUUUAAUGUAUAUAGCAGCACACUUAAUAAUAGGAGUAGUGAAUUUCUCACUUCUUUUUCUUCUCAUGUACUUUUCUAUUUGUUUAUAUCCACUGAUUCUCUUGUGGAUUGAGUUAAAUUUGAGGAUUAUAAAGAAUGAUCGCAAGGGGACAAAAGGAAAGUGGAAAAGCCAUUUCACAAUACAAAAUCCUCCUCUCAAAUGUAGGAGUUGACAUCAACUCUCUGUGUAUAUAUAUGUUUCUUUCUCUAUCCCUUUGGUUACUUUCCUUAAUACUUGAUCGAUUUGAUUUGGUCAUUUCACUCGAGUCAGAUCAAUCUGAUUUGACUUGUAGAAAGAUACUUAGAGAGAGACAUUAUGUAAAUCAUUUGGAAAAUUUAAAUUCAACUUCUUCUAAAAAAAUAAUUUUAAAAAAAAACCUAAGGUUAGACACACACAAAUUUUGCACCUCACCAAUCAAAUUUAAGUUAAAAUUUGAUUAUUAGUUGUAAUAAAAAUUUAUAUGGUAUAGUUGAAUAUCAGAGUGCGCAACGAACAAGACUAACAAGAAUAAUAGAAAUAUUAUUAAACAAACGAGAAUGCCGGAACGGCUACAAAAAACCUAAGAGACUACAUUGUGAAUAACUUAUUUUUCUAUAGAGUUACAAAGUACUAUAUAUAUAGAAAACUAACCUAACCCUAAUAGGCAAGGAAACGAAACCCUAAUACUAACGGGUUAAGCCCAAAAUACCAAACAUUAAAAUAAAUCUAAAUAAUAAUAUUUUCCAACACCCUCCGUCAAACUCAUGACGGUACACGACAUGGGUUUGCCAAAGUAGAUGUGGAUGCAAGACUCCAAAUUCCAGUGCCGAUGCCGAUGCCGAUGCAGCUACCGAUGCCGAUGCCAAUACCAAUGCUAAUAUCAAUACCAAUGCCAAUGCGAAUACGAAUACCAAUACCAAUACCAACUUCUAAACAAACAAUAAAAAAAAAAUCCAACCAAACAAACCAUAUUUCUUUCUACCCGUGUGGGCCUUCAAACAAAAAACCAACGUAUUUUGUCUUUAUUUUUUUUCUACCUUUUUUUUUCUCUUUUUUUUCCUAUUCUUUUUUCCUUCAAACAUCACGUCUUCUUUUUUUUUUUAUUCCUUUUUCUCUGCCCUUCUUCAAUUCAUGCAAAAACAGCACACGUGCAGAUACGAAACAGAUGCAGGUUUACAUGACUUCAAGGGAAAACGUGAAACAGCAUGAGCGGUGAUGCAGAUCAGGUGCGGAUGCAAUUUCGAACGGUAGUAGAGGACAAUGUCAUGACGAAGCAAACUGAUUUUUUUAUUUUUUUUUAAAACUAAUAUCAAACAAACAACAUGGAUACCUAUCAAGAACAUAUUAAAUCCCGAAAGAUCAAACCUGCUCUGAUACCAAGUUGAAUAUCAGAGUGCGCAACGAACAGACUAACAAGAAUAAUAGAAAUAUUAUUAAACAAACGAGAAUGCUGAAACGGCUACAAAAAACCUAAGAGACUACAUUGUGAAUAACUUGUUUUUCUAUAGAGUUACAAAGUACCAUAUAUAUAGAAAACUAAUCUAACCCUAAUAGGCAAGGAAACGAAACCCUAAUACUAACGGGCUUAGCCCAAAAUACCAAACAUUAAAAUAAAUCUAAAUAAUAAUAUUUUCCAACACCCCCCGUCAAACUCAUGGCGGUACACGACAUGGGUUUGCCAAAGUAGAUGUGGAUGCAAGACUCCAAAUUUCAGUGCCAAUACCGAUGCCGAUGCCGAUGCCGAUGCCAAUACCGAUGCUGAUGCCGAUGCCAAUACCAAUGCUAAAACCAAUACUAAUACCAAUGCCAAUGUGAAUAUCAAUACCAAUACCAACUUCCAAACAAACAAUAAAAAAAAAAUCCAACCAAACAGACCAUAUUUCUUUCUACUCGGGUGGGCCUUCAAACCAAAAAACAACGUUUUUUGUCUUUAUUCUUUUCUACCUUUUUUUUUCUUUUUCUUUUCCUAUUCUCUUUUCCUUCAAACAUCACGUCUUCUUUCUGUUUUUUUUCUUUUUUCUUAUUCCUUUUUCUCUACCCUUCUUCAAUUCAUGCAAAAACAGCACACGUGCAGAUACGAAACAGAUGCAGGUUUACAUGACUUCAAGGGAAAAUGUGAAACAGCACGAGCGGUGAUGCAGAUCAGGUGCGGAUGCAAUUUCGAACGGUAGCAGAGGACGAUGACAUGACGAAGCAAACUGAUUUUUUUUUUUUUUUUCAAAACUAAUAUCAAACAAACAACAUGGAUACCUAUCAAGAACAGAUUAAAUCCCGAAAGAUCAAACCUGCUAUGAUACCAAGUUGAAUAUCAGGGUGUGCAACGAACAAGACAAACAAGAAUAAUAGAAAUAUUAUUAAACAAACGACAAUGCUGGAACGGCUACAAAAAACCUAAGAGACUACAUUGUGAAUAACUUAUUUUUCUAUAGAGUUACAAAGUACCAUAUAUAUAGAAAACUAACAUAACCCUAAUAGGCAAGGAAACGAAACCCUAAUACUAACGGGCUAAGCCCAAAAUACCAAACAUUAAAAUAAAUCUAAAUAAUGAUAUUUUCCAACAACCCCCGUCAAACUCAUGGCGGUACACGACAUGGGUUUGCCAAAGUAGAUGUGGAUGCAAGACUCCAAAUUCUAGUGUCAAUGCCGAUGCCGAUGCCAAUACCAAUGCUAAUACCAAUACUAAUAUCAAUGCCAAUGCGAAUACCAAUACCAAUACCAACUUCCAAACAAACAAUAAAAAAAAAAUCCAACCAAACAGGCCAUAUUUCUUUCUACCCGUGUGGGCCUUCAAACAAAAAACCAACGUUUUUUGUCUUUAUUCUUUUCUACCUUUUUUUUUCUUUUUU